UGAACAUACCACUCCAUCGCAAAAUCCAAUAAUCUUAGACAUUUCGCUCCCUUGAAGAAUGCCGCCAAGGCUUCACCAGUUACAUCAUACUCGUCACCAUGAACUACUAGGCUCCGUAGUUUCUCUAUGCCUUUUAUAGACACAGGAAAUUGAUCCCCUUUUCCAAUCUUUACCCUCAAAUGAUGACUCUUUUUGGAAGAUACGUCCAUCCUCACAUUUUCACUGCUGUCAACCUCCGCUGCCAAAAUUUCUUCCCUUGUCAAAUAUUGAACAAAAUCAUGUACCAUGUCAUGCAUCUUGCAUCUAUUUAUAUUGCCAUGUCUGUCUUUUUUAAAAUCUUGGAAAAAAGAACAAGAUGCUAAGUAGUUGAAGUAUUCACCAACUUUUUCUUCUUCCAUCCCUGAAUUCUCGUUGGAGCUUAGAUAACCAUGUGCCAUCCAAUGCUUAAUUAAUUUAGCUGGCUGAAUAGCAAAAUCUUUGGGAAAGAUUGCACAAUACAAUAAGCACGGUCUUAUUUGUGAGGGCAAAUCAUAAUAACUUAGCAAGAGAGGUGUGAAAAUGUAUUCUUGUGCAACAUUUAAUUUCCAUAUCUCACUAUUCAGAAUCUGUUGCCACUCAUCCUUAGAUUUUUAUUCUGUAACAAACCUCCCAAAGUCUUUGCAGUAAGCGGCAAACCUUUACACUACUUUGCUAUUUUCCUUCCAAUAUCCUCCAACUUUCGAAGCAACUCAUUUCCCCUUUCCAUAGAGGCCGAUUGACUAAGUAUUAACCAGCACACUUCAUCAGAUAAUUCUUCCAAAUGAAACACUCGAGAGGACCCCAUCCCCGUUGCAACUGAUUCUUUACGAGUAGUCACCAAAAUCCUACUUCCAGACAUGCCUUGUCGAAAAACAGCUUUUAGUGGCUCCCAAUCUUCAUCACGGUCUGUCCACACAUCAUCUAAAACAAGCAAGAAUUUUGCACUUCUGAUUUUUUCACAAAUUUUGGUCAGAACAUCGUCUAAGGUAAUUGGAUUUCGGAGGUUCGUAGCUGAACCUUUGUCCAGACUUCCUAAAAUUGCUCUCGCAAUUUUGUUUAGAUCAGAAUCGUCCGAGACACACACCCAAAUUACUUUGUCGAAGUGUACUCCAACUUGAUGAUCAUGAAAGAUCAAUUGAGCAAGAGCUGUUUUUCCGAUCCCUCCCAUCCCUACUAGAGAGAUGGUCUGAAUGCAGCCUUCUUCACUAGUCCCAUUCAACAAUUUCUCCACUAUCUCUUUUUUAAUCUCAUCUCGACCAUGUAACUUGGACACAUCAAUAAAAGAUGUACUCUCUACUCGUCUAAAUUGUUUGGUUUCUAUUUUUUUCAAAUGAUAUCUAUCUUUCUCCUUAGCAAUCUCAUCUAGCCUUUCAUUGAUUCCUUUUAUUUUGAUAGCAAUGUCAUGACGCCUAGCAACUUGACAAAAAGAAGAAAACCAUGAAAUUACAGAAGUUUUCAACCUCUUGGGAAUAGAAGCACUUACAUCUAAUUCAGGAUCUGUUUGUAACUUGGAAAGUGCAGUGCUCCACUCAUCCAACACGUCCUCCAUGUCAUAAGACACUUCUUUGAGCUUAUCUAACCAACCUUUCACUUCUUGCUCCAUAAUUUGCCUUUGCUCUGCAGCUUCAAGCGUUUUGCGGAUGGCCUUAAAAUUGCUGUCAAGCUUUUCGACUUCCUUCUCAACAUCUGUCACCAACUUCAGCUCUUGCCGUGCAUUCUUAACAGUGAUUGCAGUGAGUUGCUCCAAGAUGGAAGAAACAAGUGCUUCGGCCAUUUUGAGAGAGAGAGAGAUUAAUCGAUUGAUUAGUGAAAGAAAAUUGAUGGCCGAUUAAACCAUUCAAUUCAACUCUAUUCAGCAAUAACAUUUACUAGCUGCUCUAUAAUUGCAGAAACAAGUGCUUCCGCCAUUUUCCUAGAAGAAAAGAGGUGUUGGUAAUGGUUAAAGGGCGAUUAAAGGGCGAUGAGAUCUGGUAUUUCAGGGAAACUACAGUGGUGACCUUGGGAUUGGGUAGCCAGGAAAAUGGGGGACCACAUCUAUAAUUGUUGACUGUUGACUGUUGACUGGUAACCAGCUGUAAACCAAACGAUGAAGCUUUUCAUAUCAACUUACAAAGCACUUGCAAAUAUAUAUAUAUAUAUAUAUUGACAAAAUUAUCAAAUAAGUAACAUAAAUAAUUUUCAUGCAGUGAUUAAAAAAAAUUUUUGAAAAUAAAAAAUCCAAGAGCUUUUUAUAAUAAUAAAAUAAUAAAAAUAAUAAUAAUUCUUUAUUAUGUAACUUUUUAUUUGUCAGUUACUAUGACUUUUGACUAAAUGGCGAAUAUACUAGAACCUUAUAAUAUGCUUUUUGCACGUUGCAACAUCCCAUAUACAGCUCAUGACCCAAACACCGACAAGGUUGUUUGCAUGAGAGGUAUCGGCGAGGGACAUGGACAUUUAUUCAACAUUUCAACUUAUAAUUUUUACCACUUAAUCUUUCCAUGCCUAGAAUAUUUCAUUUUUAUUACAUAACUAUAGUUGAAGAUUACAUACCUGCAUUAUGAAAUCCAUGCUCAUAAAAUAGGGAGAUAAAGGAAAAGAAAAAAGUAUUUAAAAAAAAUUUUUAAGAUCAAAAUAUUUUUUUAAAAACACCUUUCAGGGCACGGUGAGAGGGACUUCCGUCGUUUACUGAAUAAGAAGGUCAGGCGAACGAGUUUCACAAAACACUCAUGGUAUGGAUUACAUUGUGUGCAGGAUAUUUCUCCUCGCAAUAUUAUUCAAGAAAUAUCUUUACAUGACGUAAACAAUGAAGUCUUUAAAGAUAAUUUCUUCUUCAGAUGGUGUCUUUUCAACUUUUUGGCCGAUAGAUUUCUUCUACAAAAUAAAUUUAAACUCUUAAAAUUUUAUUUAAUUUGUCAUUUGAAAUUACGAAUUUAAGGUAAAAAGUGAAUUUUUUAUAGGCUCUGUAUUAGUUUACUGUAUUAUGGACUUCAACUGGUAAAAAGGUCAGUUCUACAUUGUUUGAGUUUAUAUAAAGAAAAUCCAGGUAUCCAUAUUCAAAGAUAUAUUCAAAUAUAGUAAUUAGUAUAAAUUUUUUAGGAAUUUAUUAAAGCGUUCAAGUGUUGAAAAAUCUAAAAACAGCAUCUAAAUGCAUGAAAGAUUUUAGUCAAAACAAUUGGAAUUGAAGAUUUAAAAGUCAAAAUUAGUUUGAUCACAUCAUAGGAAAUAACUAGUAAAUUAUAACCAAGUUGGCAAGUUUUAAAAAUUUCAUGAAAUAUUGAAACAUAAAACUUGAGAAUAUUUGUUGGGUUUAAUUUUCUUAUCAAUUCCCUGCAAUGUUAAUGUUGCUUUUGUCAAAAUGUCUGCGAGAUUAAAAAUUAUUUGUAACCAAGACUUGAUUGGAGCUGUUAUGAUUGGUUUGCAUUUAUUUAUACUAAGUAAAUUUUAAUGACACCAAACAAAAAAGAUUAUAUUGAGAAAAAAAUUAGCCCCUCAAUAAUAUUAAACAUAAAUAACUCCAUACAUUUAAAAUAAUACAUUACAAGUUAAAGAUCCCACAAAUAAUCCAUACAAACAUCAAGCACACAACAAAUUAAUUAUACAAAUACAGAAGUAAGCUGCAGGAUUUGGUCGAACAGCUCGAGAGUUCAAAUCAUGGUUCAAAGCAGGGACCAAAGACAGCAGCGGACACACAUUAAGUUUUUACAUGAUUUUAGACAAUCACAUACUGAAUGUUUUAAAAAUAUAGAUAUCUAAAAGCAUAAAAGAGGUAGAAGCCAGCACCAUUUCUUCUUCCCACGGAUGGCAGCUCCUCUGAUUCACCCUUACGUUGACCUUCUUUUGAAGCUGGAAAGAACAAAGUCAAAGGUUAUCCUUGUAAUAUCAAUUUAAAACACAUGGUAAAAUUAUAAUUAUACUUUGACGUGAUUUUUAUAAGGAGUUUUUAUUCACACUCUUCUUUUUAAUCUUCAUACACUUUUUUUGAAAAUCAUUUUUAAAUAAAUUAUUUAAUAAUUAUUUUUCUUUUUCAUAUCUUUACUACUUUUAAAAUUUUGAAUUUAUAAAUCUAAAAGUUUUUACAAGUUUUUAGAUUUACAUAUCCAAAAACUUUUAAAAGAUUUCAAACUUGCAUAUCCAAAAAUUUAAAAAUUUUUAUCUCACGUUCUUCAAAUAAAAAAAAUCUAAAAAUCCACAUGCAUAAUUUUUUCUAUCAAUUUAUAAAUGAGUUUAUAAUUAUUUAAAACAAUUUACACCUUUUUUAUGAUGUUAUGAAAAUUUUUCAAAAUAUUUUUUCUCACUUAAUUUUUUUUUCCAAACCUUAAAUGUGACUUUUUUGUAUUAAUUGAAUGUGCAUAAACAAUAAGUUAUAUAAUUUAUUAGAUUUUUAUAUCCAUAAAUUAUAAAGUUUACUAAAAAUAUAUAUCUGCAAGUUUUAAAAUUGAGAUGAAAAAAUAAUUAAAUAAUCUUACUUAGAAGAAAAUUAAAAAAAAAAACAUGUGAAGAGAAAAAAAAAUUGAAAUGUGUCUAUUAGCUCUUUUUUAAAAAAAAAGAAUUGAACAAAUUUAAUUUGAAGAAAAAUUGGAAAGAGAAAUAGAUAGAAAGAGUACCUGAUCCACCUAAGCACUUCGACUAUCGAUAUGUCAAAGGAAGGAGGUAGAUUUAAGGCUUGAAUGACGCCAUUAGGAUUUAUCUCUCCAUGAGUCAGAUCCAGGCGGUCAAGAUGUCUCUUGUUGUGAAGUUUGGCUCUCUUAACCUCUCCCACAUCAACCACAUUUCCCACCACUUUUAUUUGAAGAUAUCCACGAAGGAGGUCCAAGUUUUCCAAAUCUCCCACACUGAAUUCUUUAGCUGCGUCUUUGCCAUCUACUCUCGCUCUGAUUGGGAUUAAUUCCCUGAGAGAAGUUAAUCUCCCAAUCCCUUUUGGGUAAUAUUGUAGCCCAAAACAAUACUUAGAAUAAAAAUACCUCAGGUUGAUUAAUUUCCCCAUACCAUCUGGUAGUUUCUCAAGAUUAUGACAACCAUCGAGAUUCAAGUAUUGCAAAUUAUGCAAUUCACACACUUCUUCAGGCAAUUCUUUUAAAUUCCCACAGCCACAAAAAUUAAGGUAUCUCAGAUGAAUUAAUUUCCCUAUUUCAUUUGGAAUUUCUUUUACAUUUACAUGACCAUACCACUCCUUCGCAAACUCAAAUAAUCUUAGACAUUUCGCUCCCUUGAAGAAUGCUGCCAAGGCUUCACCAGUUACAUCACACUGUUGACCACCAGCUAGAAGGCUCCGUAGGUUCUCUAUGCCUUUUAUAGACACAGGAAAUUGAUCCUCUUUUGAUAUCUUUACCCUCAAAUGAUGAGUCUUUUUGGAAGAUAAAUCAAGCCUCACAGUUUCACUGUUGUCAAACUCCACCGCCACAAUUUCUUCAUCUGUCAAAUAUUGGACAAAAUCAUGUACCAUGUCAUGCAUCUUACAUUCAAUUACGUUACCAUCCUCAUCUUUUUCAUAGUCUUGAAAAAAAGAACGAGAUGCUAAAUAGUUGAAGUAUUCACCACCUUUUCCUUCUUCCAUCCCUAAAUUCUCCUUGCAGUUUAGAUAACCAUGUGCCAUCCAAUGCUUAAUUAAUUCAGUUGGCCAAAAAUCAAAAUCUUUGGGAAAGAUUGCACAAUAUAAUAAGCAUGGUCUUAUUUCUGAGGGCAGAUCAUAAUAACUUAGCAGGAGAGGUCUGAAAAUGCCUUUUUCUGCAACUUUUAAUUUCCAUAUCUCACUGUUCAGUAUAUUUUGCCACUCAUUCCUAGUGUUUUUCUCCCGUAACAAACCUCCCAAAGUCUUUGCAGCAAGCGGUAAACCUUUACACUUCUUUGCUAUUUCCCUUCCAAUAUCCUCCAACUUUUCACGCAACUCAUUUCCCUUUCCCAUAUAGGCCAAUUGACUAAGUAUUAACCAGCAACCUUCGUCAGAUAAUUCUUCCAAAUGAAACACUUGACAGGAUCCCAUCCCCGUUGCAACUGGCUUUUUACGAGUAGUCACCAAAAUCCUACUUCCAGACAUGCCUUGUCGAAAAACAACUUUUAGUGGGUCCCAAUCUUCAUCACGGUCUUUCCACACAUCAUCUAAAACAAGCAGGAAUUUUGAACUUUCGAUUUUUUACGAAUUAUGGUCAGAUAAUGUUGUAAGGAAGUUGAACUUGGGAGCUUUUCAAGUAUCUUCUGAUCAAGAGGUAACUUCUGCUCAAGACAUUCUAAAAUCGCUCUCGCAAUUUUGAUUCCAUCAAAAGAGUCCGAGACACACACCCAAAUUACAUUGUCGAAGUGUGCUUGAACUUCUUGGUCGUUAAAGAUCAAUUGAGCAAGAGCUGUUUUUCCGAUCCCUCCCAUCCCUACUAUAGAGAUGGUCUGAAUGCAGCAUUCUUCACUAGUCCCAUUCAACAGUUUCUCCAGUACCUCCUUUUUAAUCUCUUCUCGACCAUGUAACUUGGACACAUCAACAAAAGAUGUACUCUCUACUCGUCUAAAUUGUUUGGUUUCUAUUUUUGUCAAAUGAUAUCUAUCUUUCUCCUUAGCAAUCUCAUCUAGCCUUUCAUUGAUUCCUUUUAUUUUGCUAGCAAUGUCAUGACGCCUAACAACUUGACAAAAAGAAGAAACACAUGAAGUUAUGGAAGUUUUCAUCCUCUUGGGAAUAGAAGCACUUACAUCUAAUUCAGGAUCUGUUUGCAACUUGGAGAGUGCAGUGCUCCACUCAUCCAACACGUCCUCCAUGUCAUAAGACACUUCUUUGAGCUUAUCUAACCAGCCUUUCACGCUUUUCUCCACAAUUUGCCUUUGCUCUGCAUCUUCAAGCGUAUUGCGGAUGGCCUUAAAAUUCCUGUCAAGCUUUUCGACUUCUUUCUCAACACCUGUCACCAACUUCAGCUCUUGCCACGCGUUCUCAGUAGCGAUAGCAGCGAGUUGCUCCAAGAUGGCAGAAACAAGUGCUGAGGCCAUUUUGAUAGAGAGAGAGAGAGAGAGAGAGAGAUAUUAAUUGAUUGAUUGGUGAAAGAAAAUUGAUGGGCGAUCAAACCAUCCAAUUCAACUUUAUUCAGCAAUAACUUUUACUAGCUGCUUUAUAAUUGCAGAAACAAGUGCUUUCGCCAUUUUCCUAGAAGAAAAAGAGGUGUUAGUAAUGGUUAGGGAAAUUAAAGGGGGAUCAGAUCUGGAAUUUCAGGGAAACUACAUUGGUGAGCUUGGGAUUGGGUAGCAAGUAAAAUGGAGGACCACUUCUAUAGUUGUUAACUAUUGACUGUUGACUGUUGACUGGUAACCAGCUGUAAACCAAAUGAUGAAGCCUUUCAUAUCAACUACCAAGCAACUGCAAAGAUUUUUUUUUUUUUGACAAAAUUAUCAAAUAAGUAACAUAAAUAAUUUUCAUGUAAUAUCAAAAUUUUGUUUUUUGAAAAUAAAAAAAUUUAAGAGCAUUUUAUAAUAAUAAAAUAAUAAUUAAUAAUAAAUCUUUAUUAUCUAACUUUUUAUUUGUCAGUUAAUAUGACUUUUGACUAAAUGGCGAAUAUACUGGAACCUUAGAAUAUGCAUUUUUUCAUCUUUACAGCUCAUGACCCAACCACCGACAAGGUUGUUAGCAUGAGAAGCAUUGGUGAGGGACAUGGACAUUGCUUCAACAUUUUCAACUUAUAAUUUUUAACACUUAAUCUUUCCACGCCUAAAAUAAUUUAUUUUUAUUAAAUAACUAUAGUUGAAGAUCACAUACUUGCAUUGUGAAAUCCAUGCUCGUAAAAUAGGGAGAUAAAUGAAAAGAAAGAAAUAUUUAAAAAAUCCUCCAGAUCAAAAUUUUUUGUAAAAUCUUUGGCAUCAUGUUAGAGUUCCUCCCACCGCACUGUGAAUCUAGAUACAAAACACCUUCAGGGCACGGUGAGAGGAACUCCCGUCGCUUACUGAAUAAGAAGGUCAGGCGAAUGAGGUUAACAAAACACUCAUGGUGUGGAUUACAUUGGGUACAGGGCAUUUCUUCUUCAGAUGGUGUCUCCUCAACCUUUUUGCCUACGGAUUUGUUCUGCAAGCUGGUAUUGUCUUUUGCAUUUUGAUGCAGAAUUGACAGAUGUCUGCUUUAUUUUAACUUUUGUUUGUGUAGCUCAGUGAAUCUGACACAUUGUUGAAACUUGAUAAAAUUGUCGUAUUGUGUAUCCAGGAUUUUCCUGUGUCUAAUGGCCUUUGAAUAGUUGCAUUAAGGACUCUGAAUCCUUGGCAUCGUCUAAUUGUCAUAAAUCCUUCAUCAAUCUUUGGAAUAGGCUUGUGGGAUUGUUCCAUAGCAAUGGUAGCAUUGUACUUAUCAGAUGCUGAUAAUAAAUUCUCCAGUAAAUACGGUUUCAUCUCGAAUAUUGUUAAAAAAAUCAUCCAUACGUGUAGUAUCAACAUAUAAAAUAAUAAAUUUAAAUUAAAAAUAAAAAUACACAAAUAUAUUUAUUUCAAUAUAUUUUAAAAUGAUUUAUUUCAAACUUAAUCUCUUAACAAAUAAAUCUUUAUAAUUAUAAAAUUUUUAAAAUAAAAAAAGUCAUCAAAAAUUUAUUACUUAAAACUUAACUCAAAAUUCAAUUAUACAUUUUUAAUAAGCUAGUCACUUAACUAUUCUUUUAAUAUCUAACUAUUUAAGAUUAUCAAAUGAAAACAUAUUAUUUAUAAAGAUAAACUCUUAUACCUUUAUUAAAUUCCUGACUUGUGAUAUAAAACAAACUCAAAUUCUUAUAACUUCACUUAACUUUUGAUGUGAGAUUAUAAGAUUCAAAGUAAACCUCAAUAAAUCCUCAAUUAACUUGAAUCUUUAAAUAUUUUAACAGUAUUUGGAAAGUUGAUAUACUUACUUUUUUUUUUCUUUUGUCACAAGAAUCUCAACAACUAAGCUUCCAUCAAGCAUGUGCAAAUGAUUUUUGAUCUUAUUUUCUCGUAGAAUCACACUACUAUUCUUGUACACUUUCAACCAAUUAUUAUUAUCAUAGUAUGUGUACCUUCGAGAUGCUAACUUACCAAAAACAUUCAAAUUAUAGUUACAACUUGAUAUAUACCUUACAUGAUGAAAGGCCCUAACAACAUCAUUGUGAGAUCCAAAGUGACAUUCCUAAUGCCUUAAAUUUGUACCUUUUCAUUGUUGACAACCAUAAUAUCCUCAUACUUUUCAUUCUCUUCCAACUCCACAAAGUAACUCUUAUUAUUGCAAAUAUGGACUAUAGCAACUGAAUAUAAAAUCUAACUUUUAUCACCUUUCAAAGUCUGAGUCUUAUCUACACAUAUUGUCAAAAUGAUAUUAUCAUCGUCAAAUACAAUAGUAGCAGUAUCACUUUUUUCUUCAUCUGAUUUUUCCUCAUCAUUCGUCCUUUUAAAAGCAAUCAUAUCCCUUUUUAGUUUCUUGUAGCGUAUUUUGAUAUAUUAUUUUUUACCAUAAUAAUAAUAUUCUAUAUCACUGUAAUAUUUAUCUCUUGAUUUGGAUUUUCUUCUUAAUCCAUUAAUCUUCUUGUGAGUCAUCUUUCGAUCAAAACCCUUUACAGGUAGUGUACUCCCUCCAGAUGAUGAGCUUUUAUAUUUUUAUAAACCUUUCAUUCUCAUACAACAGGACAACCAUAUCAUUCAACUUCAAAGUAAGUCUAUCCACUUACAAAGUCCAAACUAAAGAUAUAUAAGACUUGGAUAAAAAUGACAGCAAAAUUAAAGCCUUCUCUUAAUUUUCUAAUUUAUCAAUAAAAAUUGUCAACAAUUGAAAAACUAAUCUAUUAAACUCAUUUAAGUGAUUAUGAAUACUUGUACCUUCUUUCAUCUUCAGAGAAUACAUACCCAUCUUUAAACAUAAUUUGUUGUCAACGAUUUCAAUGUAUAAAUACUCUCAAGCUUAUCCCACAAACUCUUCGAAUUACUCUUAGUCAACAAAUUAUAUUUUACCUCUGAGGUUAAUGCCAAUAUAAUAGUACAACAACUUUUUUCUAAAUUUUAUUUCAAUUACUGUCAGAUAUUUCUUUAAGCUUACUACUCUCUAAUACUUAAUCCAACUCUUGUUGUACUAACAGAUCUUGAAUCGUAUUUUGUUAUAACAUAAAAUUAAUCUUUUCAUUAAAUAACGAAAUCUCAAACUUGGGUAUAAGCAUAUUAGACAUACUUUCUCUAGACAUCUUGAAAUACUUACUUCAUGAGACCAAGAUCUCUUGGGCCUAUCUCUUUUUCCCAUAAACCUUUCUAUAAUACAACUUAUUGGAAAAUCAACAUGCACAUGCAAAACUCAAACACAAAAUGAUAAUUUAAAUUAAGAAUAAGAACACACAAAUAUAUUUGUUUCAGUCUAACUCAAAAUGGCUUACUCCAAAAUAAAUCUUUACAAUUGUGAGACUUUUGGAAUAAAAAAAGUCAUCAAAAACUUAAUCCAAAACCUAAUUACACUUUUUUAAUAGGCUACUCUCUUAGCUAUUCUAUUAGUGUUUAUGUUGGAUUAUCAAACCAAAAUCAAAAUAUCUUAUUUAUAAGUAUAAAACUUCUUAUAUAUUUAUUAAACUCCCGGUGUGGGAUAUAAAAUAAACUAAAACUCUUAUAAUUUUACUUAACUUUCGAUAUGAAUUAUAAGAUUUAAGAUAAACCCUAACAAAUAUCAGAAUUUGCACUAAGACUUUAAUAAAUAUUGGUUCAAAAGUGAAUUUUUUAUAGGCUCUGUAUUGAUUUACUGCAUCAUGGACUUCAACUGGUAAAAAUGUCAAUUUUGCAUUGUUUGAGUUUAUAUAAAGAAGAUCUAAGUAUCCAUAUUCAAAAAUUUAUUUAAUAUCUUCUUUUGGAGAAGAUUUAAAGUUUAUUCUUUUGGAGAAUAUUAGCUCUUAGGUAAAUUUUUGUAUGGUCAACAAAAAUAGUAGAUUUAGCUUAUGUGUGUGAGAAUAAACUUUGGUUGUAAUGGUUUGGUAAGCACCAAUAAAUUUUUCUAAGUUUUUUAGAAUAACUUCAUUGGAUGGUAAUGGUGGAAAGUUUUCUUUUAGGGUAUCCAAAGGGGUUUCUCCUUGGAUCUAUAUUGUGUUAAAUUAGUGAAUUUUACUCUAAAGGACCGUGAGGUCGAUGGACUCAAAAAAAUCUCAGCGAAAGCUUGAGAUGUUUCUUGCUUUUUUAUUUGUUCUUUUGGAAAAAGAAUAUAUUUUUCAUUGAUUUCCUUGAGGAUAACAAUCUAAGAUUGUAUCUAUUCAUACUUAUUUGAAGCUUCAAUAAGAGCAUCGUGUAGCUUAUACAUGUUGUCAAAGUUAGCCUCAUAUUUUUUGUAAAUAUUGUCAAGCUCAUCAACAAGCUUUUCUUUCAUGCUUUUCUAUUGUAUUAAUGAUUUCAUUUAUCAUUGCCAUCCCUGGAUGAGAAAUAAGGUAAAACAUUAUUUUCUCCUUUAAUAUGCUCAAUCUUAAACUUGUAUUCAACAAAGAAAUUAUGCGAUCUAUGAUAUUUUUCCUAUUAGAUGUUAAAGGAUGAUUGUUCAUAAUAAAACUUUUACUUGUGUACUAUCUGUUCAGAUAAUAAGUUCCUUUAACAACAAAAAGUAGCAAAACUUAUGUUUUCCUCUAAUUAUUCCUGACAAUUUUUUUGCAUUUCUAUCAUAAUUCAUUUCAAAAUCUUUAAAAGUACCACUAUUAUAUCUACAUAUUUUUUUAAAAAACUUGCACUCAACUUGUGAGAUAUUAUCUGCUUUAAUAUGAAAGUCUCAUGUUUGAUCUUAUAAAAAACACUUCACCAGUUUUGAGUUUAGAUCUAUAUAUAUUAUACUAUAUUCACACAUUCUUUCAAUGUGAAAUUGAGAUUAUUACAAUUUCUCAAUUUUUAAAGUUUGAUAUCCCUAUCAAACUGAGUCCAACCAUAUAAUUAAAAUCACACUAGACAUUAAGAUUUUAGAGGUGAUGCACUUAAUAACUCUCAUGAUGUAGUAUUUAGUUCCCUCUUAUUAAUAAUCGCUGUGACAUCAUUUUAGGAGUUUGUACCCAACUUAUGAAAUAUUAUUCACUUUGAAUUAAAGUCUCAUAAUUUUAUUUCAUAAAAUGUAUCCCAUAGAUUUAUGUUUAAAUCUUAACUUAUAUAUAAUAUUAUAUCUAUAUAUUCUUUUAAUAUAACAUUUAAAGAAUAUGUGAAUAUAAUAUAAUAUAUAACUUAAGACUUAAAUUUAAAUUUAUAAAAUAUUUUUUAUAAAAUAAAAUCACGAGGCUUUCGUAUCAAAAAAUUGAGGGCGUUACAUUUUCUCUUCAUUUGUUUCUGUAUCUUUUCCUUUCAAAAUUGCUCCCCGAUAUUCAUUGGAAGCAUCGGUUUCUAAUUUCUUUGUAUCUUCAUCUUUUGGUAAAAACCGCCCGUGGCAGCUUAUGACAUAUUUCUUUUAUCUUUCUCACAUGGUUUGUUAAAAUCUCUGUCGUCCAUUCAAAUUUACUAUUUUUUCUUAUCAAUUUUUGUAAUGGUUGUCUUAAUUUGGACAAUUUUUCAAUGAAUUGCCUAGCAUAAUUUGGUAUUCCUAAAAAUUGCUAUGCUCGUUUUUUAUCUUUUAAUUCAUCAAAAAAUAAUACUAUUUUUCUAAUAUAUGUGGUUGUAAUUCUAAACAAUAUACCAAAAGCUGUAUAUUGUUUAGAACGUUCUUUUAAUUUUAUUUGUCCCAAUCGUGAUUUGCAAUCAAAUUUGGAACAUAUCUUGCUCUAGUCUUCAUUAGGUAACAUUUGUCUGCUGCUGCUGAACUGUUUGAAUUAAUUGUGAAGUGUGAUUUUUAUUAAUAAGUGAUUGAUUUAAUCGGUUAAAUUUAUUUUUUUUUUAUGAAAAUAUUUUGAGUUCGAAUUCUACCGAUGGUCACUUGUUGAAGUGAUCUUAAAUGUAUCACUUACAAUAAUUUAUUUUAAGCUAUCAAAUACGAUAUAUUUUACAUUGAUUUAGGAGAUUGAAUUGUCUAUCUACUCUGAAUUUAAUUUUACAAAAAAAAAGUGUGGUUCCUUUCUACAUUAUCUUACUAAUGCACUCUACCUAUGAUUUGUUGUCUUGUUAUUUGUUCACGUAAUGUUAAUUAUGUAAGAUGUGGUUCCUGCUAAGUUCUUUAAUUAAUAUUAACUAGCAGUUUAUAAUGUGUUGCUGAUUUAGUUGAUUUGAGUAUUAACAUGAUAUUGAGAACAAAUGCAGACCAUCCAAUUCAACUUUAUUCAGCAAUAACUUUUACCAGCUGCUGUAUAAUUGCAGAAACAAGUGCUUCAGCCUUUUUCUUAGAAGAAGAUGCGUUGGUAACGGUUAAAGGGGAAAUUAAAGGAAGAUGAGAUCCGGAAUUUCAGGGAAACUACAUUGGUGACCUUGGGAUUGGGUAGCGAGUAAAAUGGAGGACCACUUCUUUGGGAAAAAGAUAAUGAAAUUUCAAAUUUAAGAUUUUUCUUUUUGACAAAAUUAUCAAAUAAGUAACAAAUAAUUUUCAUGUAGUGAUUAAAAUUUUCUUUUAUGAAAAUAAAAUAUCCCAAGAGUUUUUUAUAAUAAUAAAAUAAUAAAAGUAAUAAUAAUUCUUUGCUACCAAUUUUUAUUUGUCGGUUACUAUGACUUUUGACUAAACGGCGAAUAUACUUGACAACCUUAGAAUAUGCUUUUUCUAAUCUUUACAGCUCAUGACCCAAUCACCGACAAGGUUGUUUGCAUGAGAGGUAUUGGUGAGGGACAUGGACAUUUCUUCAACAUUUUGAAGAAAUGAAGUGACAAAAGAAAAGAUACUGGGGCCACCAAGCCACUACUUACUGAAUAAGGUCAGGCGAAUGAGGUUCACAAAACAUUUAAUUAUGUCACCAUGUACCAUGUCAGACAUCUUACAUUUAAUUAUGUUACCAUGCUUAUUUUUAUCAAAAUAUUGAAAAAAAAAAGAGUUGGAAGCUACGUGGUUAAAGCAUUUUUCACUUUCUUUCAUCUUUAAAUUCAUGUUAAAGUUUAAAUAAUUAUAUGUCGUAAUAAUUUUGAAGUUGUCCGACGAAUUUAAAAAUAAAAAUAAAAAAAUAAAAAAUAAAAUCAUUAUUAAUUUUUUUUAAUUAAAUACGAUUAAUCAUCUAAUAAAAUUUAUCUUUUAAUAAAAUUUUAAAAUUAAUUAAAAUUUAUUAAAAAGAUAAUUUUACAAUCUGUAAAACAGUCGAGGUUUAAGAGUCGAUUAUACGUAAAAAAAGAUUAGCACUCCCACGACGCCUUUAAAAAUAGUACCACUUAACUACGUGUUAUAUUUUAAUUUUGAUUAAAAAUAAUCUCAUUCUCAGUGUUUGAAAAAAUAAUUUUCUUAAUUUUUUUUAAAAAUUAGGUUGUUUGGUUUUAUUUUAAAAAAUUUAUUAUUCAAAUUUUAUUCGAGAAAAAUAAAUUAGAACCUUUUUUAUUUAAAUAAUUCUCAAAAUACUCCAGCACGUUGAAAAUAUUAGAACUCUUUCUUACCUAAAGAUUUUUCAGACAUCACUUCUCGAAAUACCUAAGAAUUUCAUCCUCGGAUGUUCGAAUUUACUUUUUAUAAAAAUUAUAUCAUGCAUUGAAUGCAAAUAAUAACAUGAUGCAUACAUUUUAUUUUUUAGAAAUUUUAUUAAUUUUUAUUAUUAUUCUUAUUUAAAAGAAAUGAAGAACAAAAAAAUUUUUAUUGUAUUGAAGAUUUUCUAUAAAUAUUUUAAUACACUGAUAAUAUUUAAGAAAAAAAUCUUUCACUUAUAUAUUUCUUAAAGAGAUACUUUUGAAAUAUCAUCUUUGACAAAAAUUUCUUUUUUUUCUAUUUUUUAUUACCUAUUUUUAAUUAUUAGUUAAUUAUUAUUAUUAUUAUUUUAUAAAAAAAUUUUAUUAUAUUGAAAUUUUUUUAUAAAUACUCCAAAUACACUGAUAGUAUUUUUAAAAAAUUUCUCACUUAAAAAUCUCGUAGGUAUCACUUACUCGGAGUACUUUGAAUCUCAUCGUUGGACAAAAAAUUUUUUUUUCUUUAUUUUUUUUAUAUUUAUAAGAUUUAUUCUGAAAUUAAUAUAAUUAUCAAAAACUUUUAUAUAUAUAUAUUUUUAUUAAUUAUUAUUAUAAAACAAUAAAAAUUUAUUAUGUUAAAUUUAAAUAUUUUAACACGCAUAAAUAUUAAAAAUAAUAAUUAAAAUAACUAAAAUAAUAUAUAAAAAAAAUAAAAAUUUUUUUUUACUUAAACUAGAUCAAUUAGUGAUCUGAUCAACACGCACUUCAGACCGACGGUUUGGUUCGACGGUUGGAUUACGUUCAACAAUUCAAUUUCGAUUCGAUUCCGGUUCAGGCUUAUAAUUGUCUGCAAUUCUUGAAUACCUACUGUCUAACGUCCUUUUAUCACUGCCAUGGUCUUGUGAAUGUGGAUAAUACCGCGGCUCUUGUUGAGAAGGUGGAUGAUACUGUGGGGAGGCAUAGCUAUGGUGAGGCACGUAACUCUGGCUUUCUUGACCAUAUGACAACUGAGGAUGCCCGUAAUGAGAGUCCCCUGAAGAUGAAUUCUGCCUCCAACGCCCCUCCCUUGAACUACUAGAAUGCAAUACAGACGCCACCAAACUAAUAAAAAAUAAAAAACCCACCAAAGCAAGCAUUCAGAAUAUACAUGAUGAAGCAAGAAAAUUAAAACAUGAAAGGAUUUCUACUAUUCAGACUUUCCUAGAAACGUCAAAUUUUCCUUCUGUACCAAAAACUCAAGAGACCAAUUCACAAACGUAAGCUUCCCCUUCACCGUCCUAAGAACAGCCAAAGACAAGCCUUUUACAGCUAAGUAUACUUCCAAUAAUUAUUUCCUUGGAACUAAUAUUACUCUAAAAAAUACAUCGCCGUUUCAUCUCAAAACAAAAAAUGAAAAAUCAUGAAUUCUGAAAGAGACCCAUUAAUCUUGACGGCUGUCACAUUUUCAAGAUCUAAAGCGUAAAAGUAAACAAAUUUUGAACCUGGGUCGAAAGAGAAAUUCCCAUACCUUUAAUUGAAAUAGGCAAAUUUCCAGAGUUGCAGAGCAUCAAUGGAGGAUCUGUGUAUCGUUUUUGCUUUUGAAUUUUGAGAUAAAGUAUUAAUAACAAGUGAAAAGUACACAAUCUUUUUUUAUGUUUGCUUUAAUGGGCACCACAUGGAAGAUGCUCAGUUUGGAAGCGAUCGGUAUUCUUCUCCGCAUCCCUUACCACCGAUCACAUCUCUAGUACACUGGUGUCAUGCUGUCUUCAUUUAUCCUCUUAUAGAAAAUAAAUGUAAAACAUUUUCUUUUUUCUAAAUCUAAUGUAGUAAUUAGCAUAAAAUUUUUUAUGAUUUUACUAAAGCAUUCAAGUGUUGAAAAAUCUAAAACAACAUCUGAAUGCAUGAAAGAUUCUAGUCAAAACAAUUGGAAUUGAGGAUUUAAAAGUCAAAAUUAGUUUGAUCACAUCAUAGGAAAUAACUAGUAAAUUGUAAUCAAGUUGACAAGUUUUAAAAAUUUCAUGGAAUAUUGAAACAUUGAAAGUUUUAUGAGAGUAUUUGUUGGCUUUAAUUUUUUUUAUCAUUUCCCUGCAAUGUCAAUGUUGCUUUCGUUAAAAUGUCUGCGAGUUUGAAAAUCAUUUGUAACGAAGGCUUGAUUGGAACUCUUAUGAUUGGUAUGCGAUUAUUAUUAUUAUUAUUUUUUCAUAUAUACUCUUAACUCAUCUCCGAGUUAUAUAAAAUUUUGCAUGUUUGAAUUUUGAUUUUUGAUUUUUUUUUGUCAUAUAUGAUUGUUCAAGUGCAAAGCAUUUUUUACAUAUCCAUGAACAUAUAAUCUCUACCAAAGAGGAAAGAAUGUUAAUUUUAAAAUAUUUGAGGACUAAUAGGUUUAUAACAAUUAGAAUGUAGUCCCUUUUUUUUUUUAUGUUGGUGUACAUAAUUAAUUUUCUAUAGUUGUUGAUUGUUUUUGAAUGCUACUCAUUUUUAAUUCUUAAAUUCAGUUAAAGCAAUUACAUUAAAUUAUAAGAUCAACAUCAUAUGCAGUUAAGUUUAGAUUUUUUCUUAAAACAGAUUUUUUUCCUCUUCUUCGUUGAUGUAAGGUAAAGUUUGGUUACCAUUUGAGAUAAAGACGAUAACAGGACCAAAGCUUAAGAAGAAUUGUCAUCAUGUAAAAUACACAAUUAUAUAUAGAUAUAUUACCUACUAACGAAAUUGAAUUUUAAAUUUUACAAAUGAAUUAAAACAUUUUCAUGUAUUUUCUUCAUUUUGUAAAUAUAUUUUCAAAAAAAUGCCUCACUCUUGAAUGAGAUAACUUCUUGUCUUUGAUUUGUCUCACUCAAUUCAAUGAAGCCUCAGUUUUAAGAUUAAUUUUGAAUUGUAACCUAUGUAAGAGAGGUUAGUAGCUAUUAAACUAAAUGUUAUUAUAGUAUACAAAAUGCACUAAUAACAAAAAAAAAUAGAGUUAUUUAAGUGUCAUAAUUUAUUACAAAACAAAAUAAAUAAGCAUGAUCAAUUAUUAAGAUUAUAAUAUUAAGUAAAUUUUAAUGAUACCAAAUAAAGAUUAUAUUGAGAAAAAAAUUAACACCUCAGUAAUAUGAAACGUAAAUGAUUCCAUAUAUUUAAAAUAAUACAUUACAAGCUAAAGAUCCCACAUAUAAUCCAUACAAACAACAAGCACACUACAAAUUAAAUUUGAUCCAACAGCUCGAGGGUUCAAAUCAUGGUUCAAAGCAGGGACCAAAGACAGCAGCAGACACACAUUAAGUUUUUACAUGAUUUUAGACAGUCACAUACUGAAUGUUUUAAAUAUAUAUAUUUAUAUAAAGGCAUAAAAGAGGUAGAAGCCAGCACCAUUUCUUCUUCCCACAGAUGGCACCUCCUCUGAUUCAGCCUGACCACGUUGACCUUUUUUCGGCACUACGAAGAUCAAAGCCAAAGGUUACCCUUGUAAUAUCAAUUUAAAACACAUGGUAAAAUUAUAAUUAUCCUUUGAUGUGAUUUUUAUAAGGAGUUUCUAUUCACACUCUUCCUUUUAAUCUUCAUACAUUUUUUUCAAAAUCAUUUUUAAAUAAAUUAUUUAAUUAUCUUUUUUUUUAUAUCUCUUUUACUUUUAAACUUUUGGAUUUAUAAAUAUGAAAACUUUUAAAAAUUUUUAGAUUUAAAACUUUUAAAAAUUUCCAAACUUAACUAUCUGAAAAUUUAAAAAUUUUUAUCCCACAUUCUUCAAAUAAAAAAAAAUCUAAAUACUCACAUGCAUAGUUUUUUCUAUCAAUUUGUAAAUAAAUUUAUAAUUAUUUAAAACAAUUUGUGACUUUUUUAUGAUGUUAUGAAAUUUCUUCAAAAUAUUUUUCUCAAUUGAUUUUUUUCCCAAACCUUAAAUGUAACUUUUUUUAUUUAUUGAAUAUGCAUAAACAAUAAGUUAUAUAAUUUAUUAGAUUUUUAUAUCCAUAAAUUAUAAAAUUUACUAAAAAUAUAUAUCUGCAAGUUUUAAAAUUGAGAUGAAAAAAUAAUUAAAUAAUCUUACUUAAAAGAAAAUUUUUUAAAAAAUAAUUGUGAAGAGAAAAAAAAUUGAAAUGUGUCUAGUAGCUCUCUUUUUUAAAAAAAUUUGAACAAAUUUAAUUUGAAGAAAAAUUGGAAAGAGAAAUAGAUAGAAAGAGUACCUGAUUAACCCUUCUCCCACCGAUAUGUCAAAGGAAGGAGGUAGAUUUAAGGCUUGAAUGAUGUCAUUAGGAUUUAUCUCUCCACGCCUCGUGAAGUAUAGAAACAGCCUGUCAAGAUGUAUCUUGUUGUGAAGUUUGGCUCUCCUAACCUCUUCCACAUCUACCACAUUUCCCACCAGAUCUAUCGAAAGAUAUCCACGAAGGUCGUCCAAGUUUUCCAAAUCUCCCACACUGAAUUCUUUAGCUGCGUCUUUGCCAUCUACUCUCGCUCUGAUUAUGUGUAAUUCCCUGAGAGAAGUUAAUCUCCCAAUCCCUUUUGGGUAAUAUUGUAGCCUAUAACAAUUCGAAGAAUUAAAAUACCUCAGGUUGAUUAAUUUCCCCAUACCAUCCGGUAGUUUCUCAAGACCAUAACAAUUCCCGAGAUUCAAGAACUGCAAAUUAUGCAAUUCACACACUCCUUCAGGCAAUUCUUUUAAAUUCACACUGCCACUCAAAUUAAGGUAUCUCAGAUGAAUUAAUUUCCCUAUUUCAUUUGGAAUUUCUUUUACAUUUACAAAACUAGACCCCUCCAUCACAAAAUCCAAUAAUCUUAGACAUUUCGCUCCCUUGAAGAAGGCUUGCAAGGCUUCACCAGUUACAUCACACUCUUCACUAUCAACUACUAGGCUCCGUAGUUUCUCUAUGCCUUUUAUAGACACAGGAAAUUGAUCCCCUUCUGCAAUCUUUACCCUCAAAUGAUGAGCCUUUUUGGAAGAUACAUCCAUCAUCCCAUU
rnacentral:lncRNA from 1 species